GACAUAUUUGCAGAUUUCGGUUCUGAUUUGCCAAAAGAUAUGGAUGCGGAUAAUCGCGAGCCUAAUAAAGCUGAGAAAAGGAAGCCAAAACGCAACAGCACUUUGAACUAAACGUGAAGACCCAGAGGAUAUUGUCGAUUUAGCUGACAUUAAGUCCAUAGGAAAUGUGCUAAGUUCGUAUCCCAGGUGAAGCCGCAAGUGCUGCAGGAAGCACCAAAUCCAAAAAUAAGGAUCCGAAUCGUGGUUUUAAAACCGCCGAGGAUGGAAGACUGAUUAUAAGUGAUAAAGCAUUGCGAAGUGCUGGGGGUGAUGACAACAGCAGCAGCAGCGAAAGUGGCUAUGAUGAUGACGAGGCGAUUGAAGCAAAACGAGCGCCUAAACGCGGCAUGGAAGUUGACCAUAGUGAUGAAACAAAAGAGGAGGAACUUCCAGCUACAAGCCGCAAACGUAAAGCUACCGAUGCGAUUAGUAUGCGUUCGGGUAAGACUUCAGCUUCAAAAUAUGUAGCCGGUGGCAAAGGUAUUCAUCGGCCCUUAGGCGCCUCCGGUAGUGACGCAAUAUAAAUAAAAUCCAGGUUACUCUGCGAAGUCGGCCAAAUCUGGCAAAUCUACAGCGGCUUCAGCAUACGCCGGCAGCGAGUAUACAACUAAGAAACAUAACGGCGAUAUGAAGAAGAAGGGCAAGCUCGAUCCCUUCGCGUACAUACCACUAAGUCGAAAUACGCUAAACAAAAGAAAACGAGCAAAACAUGCAGACGCAUUUAAGAAUAUCGUAAAUGGAGCACGGAAAGGUGCUCUGAGUGGCGUUAAACAAAGAGUCGC